rnacentral:rRNA from 1 species
UACGGAGGGUGCGAGCGUUGUCCGGAAUCACUGGGCGUAAAGGGCGCGUAGGCGGCCUGAUAAGUAGGGGGUGAAAUCCUGCGGCUUAACCGCAGGGCUGCCUUCUAAACUGUCAGGCUGGAGCACAGUAGAGGCAGGUGGAAUUCCCGGUGUAGCGGUGGAAUGCGUAGAGAUCGGGAAGAACAUCAGUGGCGAAGGCGGAUCUCUGGGCCUUACCUGACGCUGAGGCGCGAAAGCUAGGGGAGCAAACAGG